rnacentral:lncRNA from 1 species
AAUGAAAAUAAUGGCUGGGUCACCAUAACAUGAGAUACUGUAUUAAAGGGUCGCAGCAUUAGGAAGGUUGAGACAUUGUUGUAUGUUGUAUUUAUCUAUUCAUCUGUUAGAGGACUUCUAGGCUGGUUCCACUUCCUGGCCAUUGUGAACAGUAAGCCUGAGUGUUCAAGUGCUCAUUAGCUUAGGAGACCAUUUAAUAUACCGGAGCUGUGUGGCCAGGUCAUAGAUCUGUUCUAUUUUUAGUUUUUUGGAAAACCUCCAUACUGCUCUCCUUGGUUGCGGUAUAAAGUCGUCAUUCUCACCAGCACAAUUAAGGACUCUCUUUGCCAAAAUCCUUGCCAACAUUUAUUGCCAUUUGUUUUCUUGAUGAUAGCCAUUUUAACUGAGGUAAAGCAGAAUCUGAAAGUAGUUUGGGUCUGCACUUCCCUGAUGACUAAGGAUGUUGCGGGGGAGGAUGGCGCACAAAGAGAAGAGAGGACCAAGAGGGAACCAGGAGCCAACACAACCAAAAGAACACAUGGCGGAAAUGGCAACAUUAUAUAGGAAUGGGACGCUGAGGGAGGGAGCCCCAGGAGCUGGAGAAGUUUAGGGUAGGACACGGGGUUAGAAGAGCUGAGAGGAGCUACAGGAACUGAGGGAGCCUAGAGGCAGCAGACACUGUGCUAUGCUAAUAGGCACUACAGUCAGCCAUUUGUCCCCAGCUCCUUUUGGACCUGAUAUAGGGUGACAUUUAUAGGGCUCACUGAUGCUUUUGUUCUCUAAUGACCUGCAAAGCACCUUCUAGCAUUAUGGAAGCUGGCCAGCAGGGAAGAAAAUCCCAGCUUAGUUGUGCUUGAUUUCUCUAUAUCUUGGCAACCAGAGUGUGUGGUGUCUUCAGUUAAAGUUUUCCUAUCUAGUUUUGUUGAGCCUAGCCAUUCAUUGUGUGGUUCAGGAGUUUUUGUAGUUCUUUAUGUAGUCUAGCUAUCAAUUCCUUCUUCUGUAUAGUUGCUAUUUUUUUUUCUAUUUUGUUGGCUAUUUUCCGUGCUGUUCAGGAGCUUUUAUAUUUAAUUUGUUAAUUAUUGCGAUUGUCUCCUCUGCUGUUUGAGAGUUCUUUUUAGAGAGUCAUCACCUGUAGCCGUAUUUGGACAUGUUUUGUCUGUAUUUCUUUCUAGCAUUUUGAAAGUUCUUCACCUUGCGUUAAGGCUUUGGUCCAUUUUAAGUUGCUCUUUGUGAGGGGUGAGAAAUAUGGAUCUAGUUUCACUGCAUGUUCUCUUUUUCUCUUCCUCAUCACACCCAUCCUCAUGUGUUGUUGUGGUUAUUGAAGAUGAUGAUGUUUUGAUUUGUUUUAAGGUAAGGGCUUAUGUGUUCCAGGCCUUAAACUCAAAUGACCUUGAACUUCUGGUUCUCCUGCAUCCGUUUCCUGAGUGUUGGGAUUAUAGGCAAGUAUCACCAUUCUUGAUUUUAUGUGGUGCUGGGGAGUCAACUCAGGCUCUCAUGUAUGCUAUCCAAGCAGUCUACCAAUAGAGUUACAUCCUCAACCUAAGUUUCGUUCUACAUGUGAAAAUGCAGUAGUCCCAGCGCCAUUUGUUAAACAGGUUCCCCUUUGUUAAAAAUUGGUUGGUUGGGGCUGGUGACAUGGCUCAGCAGGUAAGCACAUUGACUGCUCUAACAAAGGUCCUGAGUUCAAAUCCCAGCAACCACAUGAUGGCUCGCAACCACCCGUAAUGAGAUCUGACACCCUCUUCUGGUGCAUCUGAAGACAGCAACAGUGUAGUUACCUAUAAUAAUAAAUAAAUCUUAAAAAAAAUUGGUUGGCUGUUGGGGCUGGAGAGGUGGCUCAGCAGGUGAGAACUCUGGCUGUUCUUGGCUUGGUGGUUAAGAGUACUGACUUUUCUUCCAGAGGACCAGAGUUCAGUUCCUAGCAACCACACGAUGGCUCAACCACCAUCUGUAACUCCAGUUCCUGGUAACUGAGUUCCUUCUCCUGGCAUCAGUGGUUACCAGAUAUCAGGCAGAACAUUCAUACACAUAAAGAUUAUUUUAAAAACAAUUUGGUGGUUAUAGAUAUAUGGGUUUAUUUCUAGACGUUCUAUUCUAUUGCGUUGUCUCUGUUUCCAUUCCAGCGUCAUACUAUUUUUGUUUCUAUUGGCUUGAUAAUAUAACUUGAGAUCAGUUGUAUUUUCUGCUAAGGAUGCCCUUGACACUUUGGGCUCUUUUGUGCUUCCUUCUAUCCCAAGCAUUUGAGAGACUUUUAUCAUGAAGAGAUGAUGAUUGUUGUUGCUGUUGCUGCUGCUGCUGUUGUUGUUGAAGCCCUUUUUUGUAUUGAUUGAGAUCAUCAUGUGAUUUCCGCGUGCGGUAUAACACUCAUUGAUUUGGAUAUACUGAUCCAGAAUGAAACUAACUUGAUCAUGGUGUAUUAUUUUUUAAAAGCUUUUUUAUCAAUUUAUUUUCAAAUUUUAUUUAAUUUUAUUGUAUGAGUGUUUUGUCUUCAUAUAUGCCUGUGCUCCACAUGUGUGCAGGGCUGGUAAGGGUCAGAACAGGGCAUCAGAUCCCCUGAAACUUGAGUUAGGGAUUGCUGUGAUUCACCAUAAGGAUAUUGGGACCAGACAGGCUGUGUCCUUUGCAAGAGCAAGAACCUCUGAGGCAUCUCUCCAUUCCCACCCCACAUUUUUCUAGAUUAUUAUUUUUUCAAAGUAUGUCCUAAUAAUUGUCUAUAUCCACUG